AGAGUUUGAUCCUGGCUCAGGAUGAACGCUGGCGGCGUGCUUAACACAUGCAAGUCGAACGAAACACCUUAUUUGAUUUUCUUCGGAACUGAAGAUUUGGUGAUUGAGUGGCGGACGGGUGAGUAACGCGUGGGUAACCUGCCCUGUACAGGGGGAUAACAGUCAGAAAUGACUGCUAAUACCGCAUAAGACCACAGCACCGCAUGGUGCAGGGGUAAAAACUCCGGUGGUACAGGAUGGACCCGCGUCUGAUUAGCUGGUUGGUGAGGUAACGGCUCACCAAGGCGACGAUCAGUAGCCGGCUUGAGAGAGUGAACGGCCACAUUGGGACUGAGACACGGCCCAAACUCCUACGGGACGCAGCAG
rnacentral:rRNA from 1 species